rfam:Ruegeria sp. ZGT108 ZB100000, whole genome shotgun sequence.
UGCGUCGGAUUCGAAACUGCCCGAUAUGCAAGCGGGAUGGGAGCAAAUGUGCUCGAACGUUAUGGCAGGUCUUGCCGGUUUGAACAUGGUAUACGAAGCUG